rnacentral:rRNA from 1 species
UACGAAGGGGGCUAGCGUUGCUCGGAAUCACUGGGCGUAAAGGGCGCGUAGGCGGAUCUUUAAGUCGGGGGUGAAAGCCUGUGGCUCAACCACAGAAUUGCCUUCGAUACUGAAGAUCUCGAGACCGGAAGAGGUAAGUGGAACUGCGAGUGUAGAGGUGAAAUUCGUAGAUAUUCGCAAGAACACCAGUGGCGAAGGCGGCUUACUGGUCCGGUUCUGACGCUGAGGCGCGAAAGCGUGGGGAGCAAACAGG